CAGAAAGAGAAACCAGGUUUAGGGAGGGAAAGUAGGGUGGGAUUGUCUUCCCCAACCCAGGAAUUGAGCUGUGAUAUGGUAAUUAUUACUUACUGUGUUGAGUCACACUUGGUAUUUCUACAGCUUUGUAGCUACAGAGCCCUUCCAAAAGCAUUGAAUUUCGUUGAUGAUAAAUUGUUUCCCGGCCUGGUAUUUUAGCCCCUUUCCACCGAAGGCAAACGUGUUUUAGUGCUUUCGAGAGAACGCCAAGUGUACGAGGCGUUCUGAAACGUAGCUGAUUUCAGAAACGGAAGGCAAGUCGAUUUGCCGGAGUGGGGAUGGUUGUGACACAUUUCAGGCUUGCGUCACAAAGGUAACCGUCUCUACUGGCAAGGCCCAAGCAGGGUCCUGACUGUGAGGCCGAACUCACGGGCUUUCCCGUCGAGUCAGCCGACUUUGAGGCCUUUUCCUUCACGGGGGCGCAUAUAUGCGAAUUCCUUUUCAUGUCUCACAAUUCGAAAGGCAACAAAGGGCAUUCGCACGGUGCAAAAAAAACCCACCCAUCGCUGGAAGCUUUCCAGUCUGGCAGCGGUUAAAAGUUUCUCACGAUCCUGAGAUUUCUGUGAACAGAGAAAGUCUGUGCCAGAUUGUACUCUUACCAGCAAAUAUGAGAGGGCCUAUUUUGCCUGCCACAUCCUGCCAAGAUUUCACUGGAGAUUUAAGUUCCAAGUUGAAGCAGAAGAUCCCAAGCCCACCGAGAAUUUCUACGUCAGGCACAUCUGCCUCUUUUCUCUGGUUUUCUUUGAUUGGAUUUGAGAUCUGCCCAGUGGGACCCACUUUUGGAAACUGGAAAGAUGAUUUAGGCUAAAAGCAUCCUCUGUAACGUUUUCUUCCAGUUAACAGGAAAAGUUAGUAAUGGCUGGCUCUCUUUCUGCUUGCAUUACUCUAAAUUCUUAUAUUCUGGCUGUUCAGCCUUGAUUUAUGUUCUGAUUCCAACAGAGUGUUUCAUUGGUGAAAUUGAACCCCAGCUCCCAUCACAGAAGAUUCAAAUUGUGCCUGAUCAGCCUCCAGACACCUGAGCCAAGAGACAGAUUUGCAGUAAUACGAUUAGGGUCGAGGUAGCGAACAUGGAGUUCAGAGCAGAAUAUGUUAAUACCUUGGCUUAAAACUUCAAAAAGAUCUUCCACUGUAAAAGUGGUGGUUGAAUAUGGAGAACCAUAGGCAAGAACACGUGUGAUUUUAACAUGAGCCAAGAUAGUAGACAAAGAAUGUAUUUAUAACUUUGACAGUCUACCUAUUCAGAUAAUUAAAGGGCAAAGUUAAACACUUAAAAGUUAUUUUCCCGCACAAGCAAGCCAAAGGUCCUUCUAUAGAGGUUGUAGACCUUGUGGGAAUUAAAUUCCUGACACUGAGUACCUGCUCUGGUUGCCUGUCAACCAGUAUGUUAUCCAAAACUAAUGAUUUUAUAAACUGCUUCUGUGUUUUAAGUAUAAUAAACUGAUUUGUGUAUUGAA